GAUGAAGAACGCAGCGAAAUGCGAUACUUGGUGUGAAUUGCAGAAUCCCGUGAACCAUCGAGUCUUUGAACGCAAGUUGCGCCCGAAGCCACUAGGCCGAGGGCACGCCUGCCUGGGCGUCACACGCCGUUGCCCCCCCAUCUACUCCUUCCGGAUUGCGGGGGGGCGGAUGAUGGCCUCCCGUGCGCCUAGCCGCGCGGUUGGCAUAAAUACCAAGUCCUCGGCGACGCACGCCACGACAAUCGGUGGUUGCGAAACCUCGGUUGCCCGUCGUGUGCGUUCGUCGCGCAUCGAGGGCUCGAAAAAAUGCUCGGCUCCGGCUGGGCUUUCAACGCGACCCCAGGUCAGGCGGGGUUACCCGCUGAAUUUAAGCAUAUCAAUAAGCGGAGGA
rnacentral:misc_RNA from 1 species